GCACUCCGUCGAGCCCCCGGGUCUCGGCGCCGGAGCCUGCUAGCCUCCUUCCUUGAACACGAUCGUCACACCUGGUGCACCCCUUUCGUCUGCCUCUGGGGCUCGGUGACCAUUCAGCCCUACCCCGCCUGCUGCGUGGAAGAGGCUCCUCCUCAGGUGGCUCGGCCGGGGCCUUCCCCUGCAGACCUGUCACCCGACACCCAGGAAGCGCGCGGCCCCAUCCCGGCUCCUCUUUGUUCCCCCGCUGGGCUCCGCGCUCCGGCGCCACCUCCUCCCGCCAAGGUCCUGGUGAUUUGGGGCGCCGCUCUCGGCUCAACCUGGGCACGCCUCAAGUUCUGUCCAUUGGGCCCGCUCCAAACGAGGGCCCUUUUUUUGCCUAGUUCCUCGGGUGUGGACUCGGAGCAGAGCUGGGAGGCGGCGGUGAGCCCAGCCCGGAGCCGGCGCAGGGCACCUGGUACCAGAGGCAAGGGCCUCCAUCCUGCCUUCUCUCGUGGCAGCCGCUGUAGCAACCACUGACGCAACCGCCCCAGCCCUCCCUUGGCUCUGUAGCCUCUACCGUCCUCCAAAGUACUCUCAGAACCUUCCAGAGGCUGCUUCCGAGGGCUCCUGCCAGAAACAGUUCACCCUGGCUCCUUCCGAGCUGCCUCCUUGUCUGAAGGAGCCCCCUGCCCUGAUCCUGGCCCUGGUCAAGCCACAAAGGUGCCCAUCGGGGACACUUUGCAGUCCUGCCUUCUGGGCCUCUGCUUGUGUCACUGGGCAAGCCAGGACUGCUGGCCUCUGUGCCGAGAGGCCAUGAGAAGCACAUUGGAUGUUCUUGUCACUGCCCACUUGGGAGUAGGUGAGGUCCAGUGCCCUAGGUUAUGAGGAUCUGGCAACUGCUUGCUGACCUUGGCAGGAAGGUGGCUUGUUUGGGUGAUGGUAUUGGGAUGUGAUGGGAAACUCUGCUGCCCUCUGCAAGUCCAAGAAAUCAGACUUUCUC
rnacentral:lncRNA from 1 species